AGGACGAACGCUGGCGGCGUGCUUAACACAUGCAAGUCGAGCGGAAAGGCCUCUUCGGGGGUACUCGAGCGGCGAACGGGUGAGUAACACGUGAGUAAUCUGCCCUUCACUUUGGGAUAACUACCGGAAACGGUGGCUAAUACCGGAUACGACACAGGUACGCAUGUGCUCUGUGUGGAAAGUUUUUUCGGUGGGGGAUGUGCUCGCGGCCUAUCAGCUUGUUGGUGGGGUAAUGGCCUACCAAGGCUUCGACGGGUAGCCGGCCUGGAGAGGGUGACCGGCCACACUGGGACUGAGACACGGCCCAGACUCCUACGGGAGCAGCAGUGGGAAUAUGGACAAGUGGGCGAAGCCUGAUCCAGCAACGCCGCGUGAGGGAUGACGGCCUUCGGGUUGUAACCUCUUUCAGUACCGACGAAGCGCCGAGUGAGUGGUGGUGACGGUAGGUACAGAAGAAGCACCGGCAACUACGUGCCAGC
rnacentral:rRNA from 1 species